rnacentral:rRNA from 1 species
ACAUGCAAGUCGAGCGCAGGAAGCUGACGGAACUCUUCGGAGGGAAGGCAGUGGAAUGAGCGGCGGACGGGUGAGUAACACGUAAGGAACCUGCCUCAAGGAUUGGGAUAACUCCGAGAAAUCGGAGCUAAUACCGGAUAGUUCAACGGACCGCAUGGUCCGCUGAUGAAAGGCGCUCCGGCGUCACCUUGAGAUGGCCUUGCGGUGCAUUAGCUAGUUGGUGGGGUAACGGCCCACCAAGGCGACGAUGCAUAGCCGACCUGAGAGGGUGAUCGGCCACACUGGGACUGAGACACGGCCCAGACUCCUACGGGAGGCAGCAGUAGGGAAUCUUCCACAAUGGACGAAAGUCUGAUGGAGCAACGCCGCGUGAGUGAUGAAGGUUUUCGGAUCGUAAAACUCUGUUGUAAGGGAAGAACACGUACGAGAGGGAAUGCUCGUACCUUGACGGUACCUUACGAGAAAGCCACGGCUAACUACGUGCCAGCAGCCGCGGUAAUACGUAGGUGGCAAGCGUUGUCCGGAAUUAUUGGGCGUAAAGCGCGCGCAGGCGGCCUUUUAAGUCUGAUGUGAAAGCCCCCGGCUCAACCGGGGAGGGCCAUUGGAAACUGGAAGGCUUGAGUACAGAAGAGAAGAGUGGAAUUCCACGUGUAGCGGUGAAAUGCGUAGAGAUGUGGAGGAACACCAGUGGCGAAGGCGACUCUUUGGUCUGUAACUGACGCUGAGGCGCGAAAUGCUGGACCUCGC